rnacentral:lncRNA from 1 species
ACAUGCCCACACCUGUGGCUUCUGAAGCAGAGCACCAGCAGUGACAGUCCCACCAGAACCGCAUGGAACAGAAAACUUGUGCAUUUCCCUAAGGAAAGGGAAUGCCAGAGAAGGGCAGAAGGGAAAUCAGGAAGACAAAACAUGUCUUCAUGUUGGAGUGGACCUUUCCUCUAUCUGUCAACAGAAUGGAUAAAUUGUGGAAUAGUAAUAUCAGAAUACUACACAUCAGUAAAAAACAACAAACUUCUGCUACAAACAAUCAACAUCGAUGAAUCUUUCAGGCAAAAUGGCAAAGAAAAGUAUUGGUCUUCCAAAACAAAUAGAGGACGGAGCUGCUGCUGUUGCAUGGUGUCUAGAAACUCAGACAACUUCAUCAUUCCAUAUUUGCAUCCAAGAGAGAGAAAGAAAAACUACAAUCAUUUUCCAUUUACCCAUCAACCCAUCAACCUCCAAAUAAAGGCUAUUAAAAAACAAUCAAAGUGUGAAGAGGGCAGAAAAUGUGAUGAAGAGAUUCUUUGGAGAAAGUAGCUGC